rnacentral:rRNA from 1 species
UCGUAAGUGUUUAAGGGCACAUGGUGGAUGCCUUGGCAUCGAGAGCCGAUGAAGGACGUGGGAGGCUGCGAUAAGCCUCGG